UAGAUUGAAGCCAGUUGUUUAGGGUAUUUAGCUGUUAACUAAAUUAUCGUCGGGUUGGAACCCACGGGUCUAG
rnacentral:tRNA from 1 species